CUACGGGUUGCUGCAGUGAGGAAUAUUGCACAAUGGAGGAAACUCUGAUGCAGCAACGCCGCGUGGAGGAUGACGCAUUUCGGUGUGUAAACUCCUUUUAUAUGUCAAGAAAAUGACGGUAGCAUAUGAAUAAGCACCGGCUAACUCCGUUCCAGCAGCCGCGGUAAUACGGAGGGUGCAAGCGUUACUCGGAAUCACUGGGCGUAAAGGACGCGUAGGCGGGAUAUCAAGUCAGGUGUGAAAUCCUACAGCUUAACUGUAGAACUGCACUGGAAACUGGUAACCUAGAGUAUGGGAGGGGGAGAUGGAAUUAGUGGUGUAGGGGUAAAAUCCGUAGAUAUCACUAGGAAUACCUAAAGCGAAGGCGAUCUCCUGGAACAUAACUGACGCUAAGGCGUGAAAGCGUGGGGAGCAAACAGGAUUAGAUACCCUCGUAGUC
rnacentral:rRNA from 1 species